rnacentral:rRNA from 1 species
AUACGUAGGGGGCGAGCGUUGUCCGGAAUGAUUGGGCGUAAAGGGCGCGUAGGCGGCCCGGUAAGUCUGGAGUGAAAGUCCUGUUUUUAAGAUGGGAAUUGCUUUGGAUACUGUCGGGCUUGAGUGCAGGAGAGGUAAGUGGAAUUCCCAGUGUAGCGGUGAAAUGCGUAGAGAUUGGGAGGAACACCAGUGGCGAAGGCGACUUACUGGACUGUAACUGACGCUGAGGCGCGAAAGUGUGGGGAGCAAACAGGAUUAGAUACCCUGGUAGUCCACACUGUAAACGAUGAAUGCUAGGUGUAGGGGGUAUCGACCCCUUCUGUGCCGCAGUUAACACAAUAAGCAUUCCGCCUGGGGAGUACGGCCGCAAGGUUGAAACUCAAAUGAAUUGACGGGG